AUUGAACGCUGGCGGCAGGCCUAACACAUGCAAGUCGAACGAGUGGCGGACGGGUGAGUAAUGUCUGGGAAACUGCCUGAUGGAGGGGGAUAACUACUGGAAACGGUAGCUAAUACCGCAUACCAUCAGAUGUUCCCAGGUGGGAUUAGCUGGUUGGGGGGGUAACGGCUCACCAGGGCGGCGAUCCCUAGCUGGUCUGCGAGGAUGACCGGCCACACUGGAACUGAGAACCGGUCCGGACGCCUCCGGGAGGCAGCAGUGGGGAAUAUUGCACAAGGGGGGCAAGCCUGAUGCAGCCAGGCCGCGUGUAUGAAGAAGGCUUUGGGGUUGUAAAGUACUUUCAGCGGGGGGGCGUUACCCGCAGAAGAAGCACCGGCUAACUCCGUGCCAGCAGCCGCGGUAAUUC
rnacentral:rRNA from 1 species